CCUACGGGAGGCAGCAGCAGGGAAUAUUGCGCAAUGGGCGAAAGCCUGACGCAGCGACGCCGCGUGGGGGAUGAAGGCCCUCGGGUUGUAAACCCCUUUCAGGAGGGAAGAAAAUGACGGUACCUCCAAAAGAAGCCCCGGCCAACUACGUGCCAGCAGCCGCGGUAAU
rnacentral:rRNA from 1 species